AAGAAUUUGCCGCCGGGUAAACGCUUAUUAUCACUCCAUUAGGCCUUAGAAGGAGUGACAAUAGGCGUUUUUUGUUU
rnacentral:ncRNA from 1 species